GUGGGGAAUAUUGGACAAUGGGCGAAAGCCUGAUCCAGCCAUGCCGCGUGUGUGAAGAAGGUCUUCGGAUUGUAAAGCACUUUAAGUUGGGAGGAAGGGCAGUAAGUUAAUACCUUGCUGUUUUGACGUUACCGACAGAAUAAGCACCGGCUAACUUCGUGCCAGCAGCCGCGGUAAUACGAAGGGUGCAAGCGUUAAUCGGAAUUACUGGGCGUAAAGCGCGCGUAGGUGGUUUUGUAAGUUGGAGGUGAAAUCCCCGGUCUCAACCUGGGAACUGCCUCCAAAACUGCAUGACUAGAGUACGGUAGAGGGUAGUGGAAUUUCCUGUGUAGCGGUGAAAUGCGUAGAUAUAGGAAGGAACACCAGUGGCGAAGGCGACUACCUGGACUGAUACUGACACUGAGGUGCGAAAGCGUGGGGAGCAAACAGGAUUAGAAACCCUGGUAGUCC
rnacentral:rRNA from 1 species